CCUUGACCUCAAAUCGGGAGAGACUACCCGCUGA
rnacentral:rRNA from 1 species